rnacentral:rRNA from 1 species
GUGCCAGCAGCCGCGGUAAUACGUACUGUGCGAACGUUAUUCGGAAUCACUGGGCUUAAAGGGUGUGUAGGCGGCCGGCUAAGUAGGGUGUGAAAGGCCUCGGCCUAACCGAGGCAUUGCGCUCUAAACUGACCGGCUUGAGUGAGAUAGGGGUGUGCGGAACUUCCAGUGGAGCGGUGAAAUGUGUUGAUAUUGGAAGGAACGCCGGUGGCGAAAGCGGCACACUGGGUCUUGUCUGACGCUGAGACACGAAAGCCAGGGGAGCGAACGGGAUUAGAUACCCCGGUAGUCCUGGCUGUAAACGAUGAGCACUAGUUGGGAGGGGCUUCGGCCCAUCCGAACGCAGCGAAAGCAUUAAGUGCUCCGCCUGGGGAGUAUGGUCGCAAGGCUGAA